GACGAACGCUGGCGGCGUGCUUAACACAUGCAAGUGGAGCGACGAACCAGGCUUCGGCCUGGGGCAAAGCCGCGAACGGGUGAGUAACACGUGGGUAAUCUGCCCCUGGCUUUGGGAUAGCCACCGGAAACGGUGAUUAAUACCGGAUAUGACCACUACACGCAUGUGUUGGUGGUGGAAAGUUUUUCGGCCAGGGAUGUGCUCGCGGCCUAUCAGCUUGAUGGGGAGGUAAUGGCUCACCAUGGCGUCGACGGGUAGCCGGCCUGAGAGGGUGACCGGUCACACUGGGACUGAGACACGGCCCAGACUCCUACGGGAGGCAGCAGUGGGGAAUAUUGGACAAUGGGCGGAAGCCUGAUCCAGCAACGCCGCGUGAGGGAUGACGGCCUUCGGGUUGUAAACCUCUUUCAGUACCGACGAAGCGCAAGUGACGGUAGGUACAGAAGAAGCACCGGCCAACUACGUGCCAGCCGCCGCCGUAAAAC
rnacentral:rRNA from 1 species